AUUGAACGCUGGCGGCAUGCCUUACACAUGCAAGUCGAACGGCAGCACGGGAGCAAUCCUGGUGGCGAGUGGCGAACGGGUGAGUAAAUGUAUCGGAACGUACCUUUCAGUGGGGGAUAACGUAGCGAAAGUUACGCUAAUACCGCAUAUUCUGUGAGCAGGAAAGCAGGGGAUCGCAAGACCUUGCGCUGAUUGAGCGGCCGAUAUCAGAUUAGCUAGUUGGUGAGGUAAAGGCUCACCAAGGCGACGAUCUGUAGCGGGUCUGAGAGGAUGAUCCGCCACACUGGAACUGAGACACGGUCCAGACUCCUACGGGAGGCAGCAGUGGGGAAUUUUGGCAAUGGAGGCAACUCUGAACCAGCCAUGCCGCGUGUAGGAAGAAUGCCCUAUGGGUUGUAAACUACUUUUAUUGGGGAAGAAACCCUUCUAACGUGUAGAAGGCUGACGGUACCCAAGGAAUAAGGACCGGCUAACUCCGUGCCAGCAGCCGACGG
rnacentral:rRNA from 1 species